CUUCAUCCCAAAAAUCAAAAGCUAAAAAUAAUUUUAAGACAUAAAAAUAAAAUCAAUAAAAAAGAGUAUGCUAAAAUGAAUCACUUGGAAUAAACAAUUAAAAUAAAAUAUCAAUAUUAAAUAAAUACGAAAAUAAAAUUAAAUAAAAUUAAAUAAGACAUUAAGAAAUAUGGAAAAUAUUUUUGGAUAUAUUUAUGAAUAAAGAAAAUAUUUUAAACUAAUUAAAAGUAAAACAGAAAUUAAAUGUGAA
rnacentral:lncRNA from 1 species